UCAGCAGCAGAUAUACCUGAGCGGUCAAGGUGUCCAAGAAAACAUAUACACUUCAAUCGUCACAAAAAUAAGGACAUCUAAGUUGUCAUUUUCACGUAGGCUUUCAGUUCGUCACAUAUACCUUAACUUCUGAGUUUUUCUUUAACACAUACACCCUUAUUUAAUCACAAUGACAAUAACGGUUAAAACGUCAGUGGUAACUAAGCACUCAAAUUCAAGCUGCUUUCAUUAAUACCUACACGCACUGCCAAUCACGUACGUCAGCAGCCAGGGUGCCACCAGUUGCUAAGCAGUUGUUAUUUCAAUGGUAACUAAGCAUCAACAUUUUAUCUGUUUAACUUUUAAAUAAAUACUCGCUCACAAGUAAAUACUACCAUGACAGUCAACAACUUUUUGACAGUUUAAACGUUUACCUCUCUUUGAGCACCUGGAGUGUAUAGCGACUUCUGCUGCUGACUGUAGGUAAUGUUGGUAGUAAAGCCUGACAACAGUUUAUUUGACCCUCGCCAUUUUGCGGAUUUUCAAUGGUACUAAUUUCUUUUACUGGCAACAAGUACUCUUUGACAACGAACGUUGGAUGUCAUCGAAUGUCACCGAUGUAAACAAAUCGAAAAUAUCUACGAAUAUAUUCAAAUAUAAACGGUUUUAUUACAAAAAAAUGCCAAAUAAAAAUAUAAGAUGCGAAAAAAAUUGUAGUGAAUGCAAUCAAAUACUUACAGCUUAAAAAAGACGAAGGAUUAUAUAGCAUUCCAAUAAACAAUGUUUUAAAGUUGGUUGUUGACAUGACCAGGAUUGACAUUUUAUAGUGCGGUUGUAUUGAACUGGUUAGUUGUUUGGUUUAAUAUUAAAUAUUUAGAAUCAGAUUUCGACGAAUAGGUAAAUAGGGAAUAUUAGGCAAAGCUCUGCGUAGGUGGCACCUUUGUGGCAUAUACAGUAACCAAACCACAUUGACACAUCACACGUCACGUCAAUCACAUGGCCUACCGCGAGACAAGAAAAUCGAAAUUUCGUUAUCUCUAAUCUCUCUAUCACUCUUGCAUAUUCGAGCGAUAAAGAGGCAGAUAACUAAAUUUUGAUUUUCGCGUUUACCGGUAGGCCCUUGUUAACAAACCGCCUUGAUGCAUCAAUGUCAUAUUUUAUUGUCUGUGAAAAUUUGUCAAUAAACAGUCUAUGAAUUUAUUGAGUCGGUAGUGCUGCACUCUGGCGGCAGAACAUUGCAGUAAUCCCCUAUUGAACGAACCGAAUUCUCUGUAAGAAAUGUUUUGACAUUAUACGAGUAUCAACAUGAAGCCAAUGCCCAAUACCCCGACUAUACAUGACGUACGCACAUUAUUGCCAUACGUAAGCUGUUUGCAGCGACACUAUUUCAGGGUUAAAUAAACUGUUGUCAGGCUAUACAUG